rnacentral:rRNA from 1 species
GACGAACGCUGGCGGCGUGCUUAACACAUGCAAGUCGAGCGGUAAGGCCCUUUCGGGGGUACGACGAGCGGCGAACGGGUGAGUAACACGUGGGUGACCUGCCCUCAGCUCUGGGAUAAGCCUGGGAAACCGGGUCUAAUACUGGAUAUGACUCCAUGACGCAUGUUGUGGGGUGGAAAGCCUUGUGCGGCUGAGGAUGGGCCCGCGGCCUAUCAGCUUGUUGGUGGGGUGAUGGCCUACCAAGGCGACGACGGGUAGCCGGCCUGAGAGGGCGACCGGCCACACUGGGACUGAGACACGGCCCAGACUCCUACGGGAGGCAGCAGUGGGGAAUCUUGCG